rnacentral:lncRNA from 1 species
UUGAUAUGUUAAGAUAUUUUAUUAUCUGUGUUGUGCAUUUAAUAUAGUUUUAUAUCAUUCACAUCAAAAUCUAUCUAUUCUGUGUAAAGUUUGAUAUCCAAAAAUGUAUAGAGCUUUCGUUUUUAUAUGGCAGUAUAAAGCAUGUCUUGAGAUGCAUACAUGUAUUGUAAUAUGUAUAGUUCUUUUUAAUUUAUCUUCUAUUUUUGUCAAAUUUUU